UACGUAGGGGGCAAGCGUUGUCCGGAUUUAUUGGGCGUAAAGAGCGUGUAGGCGGUCAGGUAGGUCGGUUGUGAAAACUGGAGGCUCAACCUUCAGAGGUCGACCGAAACCCCCUGGCUAGAGUCCGGGAGAGGAGAGUGGAAUUCCUGGUGUAGCGGUGAAAUGCGCAGAUAUCAGGAAGAACACCCGUGGCGAAAGCGGCUCUCUGGGACGGUACUGACGCUGAGACGCGAAAGCGUGGGGAGCGAACAGG
rnacentral:rRNA from 1 species